rnacentral:snRNA from 1 species
CCCUCCCAUCCCAGGAAUA